CAAGACUCUAGUGACACAUUUAAUUAAUCACCUCAAGUUCUUCUUGUCAGAACUGUUUACAUUCCUGAAAAUGCUGAUUUUUAAUGGUUUUCAAUUGAAGAUGUGGUGAUGACAACAUCCCAAACAUAACUUUGUUCUUCCAAGAGGUAAGAAAAGCGACAUUCGUCUGUCUAAUUUUACAUUUUACCAACUAAGUCAGGCAAUCAGAAAUGGGCUUUACUUGUGUGGAACAAAAAGUAUCUCAGAAGAAGGAGGAGAAGGAGGACAGCAGCAGCAGCAGCAGGAGGAGGAGGAGAAGGAGGAGGAACUAUCCUUUAUUAUUUUUUAAGGAUCCACCUUGGUUCCAGGCAUCAUGCUGGCCACUUGACAUGUUAUCUUUAAUUCCUAAAACAUCCUGCAAGGUAUGAAUUAUUAUUCCAGUUUUGCAGAUGAGGAAAACCAGUAUUGGA
rnacentral:lncRNA from 10 species